CAAGUCGAACGAUGAAGUUGCUUCGGUAACUAUCAGUGGCGGACGGCUGAUUAACACGUAGGUAACGUGCCCUUUACUGGGGGAUAACAUCGGGAAACCGGUGCUAAUACCGCAUAAGUAAAGAGUUGAAAUACUUUUUAUUAAAGAAUUUCGGUAAAGGAUCGGCCUGCGUCUGAUUAGCUAGUUGGUAGGGUAAAGGCCUACCAAGGCAAUGAUCAGUAGUUGGUCUGAGAGGAUGACCAGCCAGAGUGGGACUGAGACACGGCCCACACUUCUACGGAAGGCAGCAGUAGGGAAUUUUGCGCAAUGGGCGAAAGCCUGACGCAGCAACACCGCGUGUAGGAUGAAGGUUUUAGGAUCGUAAACUACUGUCAGCAGGGAAUAAUUAUGACUGUACCUGCAGAGGAAGCAUCGGCUAACUACGUGCCAGCAGCCGCGGUAAGACGUAGGAUGCAAGCGUUGUCCGGAAUUAUUGGGCGUAAAGAGUUCGUAGGCGGUUAUCUAAGUCUGGUGUUAAAGCCCGAAGCUCAACUUCGGCAUGGCAUUGGAAACUGGAUGGCUAGAGUGUGGUAGAGGUCUCGGGAAUUCCUGGUGUAGCGGUGAAAUGCGUAGAUAUCAGGAGGAACACCGGUGGCGAAAGCGCGAGACUGGGCCAUAACUGACGCUGAGGAACGAAAGCUAGGGGAGCGAAAGGGAUUAGAUACCCCUGUAGUCCUAGCCGUAAACGAUGGAUACUAGGUGUUGGAGGAUUCGACCCCUUCAGUGCCGUAGCUAACGCGAUAAGUAUCCCGCCUGGGGAGUACGACCGCAAGGUUGAAACUCAAAGGAAUUGACGGGGGCCC
rnacentral:rRNA from 1 species